UACGGGGGGAGCAAGCGUUGUUCGGAUUUACUGGGCGUAAAGGGCGCGUAGGCGGCGCAACAAGUCACUUGUGAAAUCUCCGGGCUUAACCCGGAGCGGUCAAGUGAUACUGUCGUGCUAGAGUGCGGAAGGGGCUACUGGAAUUCUCGGUGUAGCGGUGAAAUGCGUAGAUAUCAGGAGGAACACCGGUGGCGAAGGCGGGUCUCUGGGCCGAUACUGACGCUGGAGGAGCGAAAGCCGUGGGGAGCGAACAGG
rnacentral:rRNA from 1 species